UAAAUAGCAUACAUUUUCACUUCCUUUGGGUAAUUAAUAUUACUAAUAUUAGCACCCUUUUUACUACAAGCCCGGUUGCAGGGAAGUUCAUCUAGUUAUACACAAAUAUUUUCUUUAUUCUAAUAAAUUUUACACAUGCAAGUAGAUUUAUGUGGGUAGAAACAACUCAUUAAUAGGAACCAAAACAGUAAUGUUUAAUCUAGAUUAUUUUGAUCGGAUAAUAAAAUCGCAUGAAACUUAUUUUUGAAAAACUUGAACAUAUAAAAAAUGUUGUCCAAAUCAUGUUGUCCUUUUCUACAACACUACUGCAUGCAUAGGCUCGAAGCAAAAUUGUCAGUUCAUUGGCAGAACCGUAUCGCUUUCCUUAGUAAUAGCCCUUUCUACAUCUGUUAUAUUACAAAUGGUAUUGUAUUUGGAUUUAGUUAUUGUAGAAUAAAAAAAAAUAUAAAAUUAGACUACAUUAGUAUUAGUAUUAAUCAUAAGGUUUAAUAAACUCUUAUAGGACCGGCCGCUAUAUUAGACUAUAAGCCUGUUUGUAAAUUUGCGUUUGUCAUCUAGUUUAGCAUACAACGACACUGGUAAAAACAAAAGUAGCAACCAAAUACCCUGUACCUAGUAAAAGUGGCAAGUAAAAACUAUGCAUUGUACAGGAGAUAACUUUUUAGCGAUAAGACUGCGUUUAGCCACAAAUUGUAUUGGUUUUAAGUUCUUUAACACCUGGUACUUAUUAUAGGUGGGCAAUUAAUAAUAUUGUAUUGUAUUCGAAUCAUGUAGUCAAAUAAAAAUGUUUUACGCAAUAUGUCUUCACUUUAUAGGCGUCUGACUCUAGUGAGUCUGUUGCUGGAGAAACUAUGUAAAUAAACUAAACCUUACACUUUAAUCGGUAACAUAUUGCAUGUUUUUACUUAUUAGUAUUGGCAUAUAGAUUGACCAAUUUAAGUAGGCAUUUAAUAUUGUAUUGAAUUAGUUGUAUUUUUUAAUUAUCAGAAUAAUAGUAAUUUAUAUUGAUAUGGUUACUAAUUGCCUAUACUUAUACCUAAAAUCUAUUACAGAAUCUCAAAAAACAGAAGUUUAAUUUAAAACGUGAGACAUACUAGCAUUAAAUUAAUUGUUCAGUAAACUCACGUAUAUUUACCGUGUUUUCCGUAAACCGUAAAAUUAAUAUAAUGUUAGAAUCAAUUAAACACAUUAAUAUUGAUUUCUUUCAAGAUAAUUAAUCAAAAACGUUUUAUUUGUCCUAGUUCAAUCCGUUGCUGGAAAAUCUACUGCUGCCGAAAGGGAUCCAUUAGCAGCAAAUUGUACACGAGAAUAUGACAUUCCGGUUACACACAAUACUUCAGAUGGCAAACGGCAUUCUAAAAAACAACAGCCAAUUUUUGAAAAUCCAACAGAUAAAGAUUUAUUACGGGCACUUCUUUCUAAUCAAUCGAAAAUGAUGAGCCAAUUAUCGGAAAUACAAUCUACUCUAAACACUUCAAGAAUUACUAGACCUAGACCAAGUUUACCCAAUGAAUCGUCUAUUAAUGAACUACCACCCGUUCCUUCUUUUAGAAGAGUGCAACCGGCGAAAACCUUGCAAGAAUUUGAUGAAUUUGAAGUAAAUUUAGGUAAUGAGGAAUUUUUCACUCAAGUAAUAUCAGAAAUGGAAGUCAUUUGCGGAUGUAGCGGUAAUUGUAAAGGCCUCGAAGCAUGUUAUAUACUUAUUGACUAUUUCAUAACCCGCGAAUGCAUUAUGAAUUGCUCGUGGGCGGGAAGCAGUAAAACUGAUGUGCAAAAAGUUCCGUUUAAAUAUUACAACAACUUUAGAAAAUGUUUCUUUACGCUUGUUCGAAUAACUGACUCUACCUUCACUGAGCAAGAUUGCGACAAUUUUUUUAAAACUAUUUUGAAGAAUUCGAGGAAGCGCUUUCAGAGUAAAGGUUUAAGACGGUCCACUCCUAGAAGAAGAAUGAAAAAAAGCGAUUAUAAUUUAAAGAGGGAACUGAUUCAACAUGUAACUGGCAAUUACGACGAACCCGAAACGCAUAUUUUAUCGCUCUUAGAUGAAGAAAAUGACAAUUCUGACGAGGGAGACGCGCUGGAGGAUAAUAAUGAUGAAAAUAAUGAAGAAACUGAUGCAGUAGAUAAGACAACUGAAUAAAAUAAUAUUAAUAUGGAGAAGCCGUAUUUUACACAACCAGCAAAGGUAGAUUAGGAGUGAAAUACAACAAGAACAAUUAUCACAAGAAUUACGAAGGAAGCAACGGUGUUAUAUCAUGGAUAUGCAGUUUUAAAGGAUGCAAUAAUAGAAUCAGGACGCAGGGUCUAGCGGUUAUUAGCAGUGCCCGAGCCCAUAGUCAUAAAGAGGCAUCAUAAACCGUCUUAUUAAAAAACAUGAAGUAAUGAUUCGUGUAUAAUUAUAUAUAUGCCCGUAGAUAUGCGAAAAGCACAAGCAGACUCAAUGAGUUGUCAAGCAGGCUUUCGCCAUGUGAUGAACUCAGUAUGUGCCUUAGAAUAUGACGUGAUGUUAGGAGUCUGAGACGUGAUUUUUUAAUUUGUUUCAAUGUCAUAAUACAAUUGGUCAGGUACGAAAUGUCACUUAAUCUUUAUGAGUUAUCCGUUACAUUUGAUGAGUAGAAACGUAACGUCAAUAAAAACUUUUCAGGAGCAGUAUUUUACACAACAAAACGAGGAAAAUUAGCUGUGAAAUACGACUAUAGCGUAUAUUACAAAAAUUAUGAAGGCAGCAAUGGAAUUACGUCAUGGAAAUGCAGUUUCAAAGGAUGCAAUAAUAGACUUAGAACUGAUGGUUUAACUGUUGUCAGCAGCAUCGGUAUUCAUAAACAUUUCGAGGAAUAGACAAUGUAUUGGUAGUAAUUUCACCUUAUUGGUAUGUAAAGCGAGUAGGUACAUUUUAAUCGCCAGUUAGUGGUUUGUGAUGAAUAAGACGUAGGUAGCUUAAUUUAUUUUCUGAAGUGUGUUUGAUAAAUGGUAUUGCAAAAUAAUGUUGUCUUUAUAGCAGUGUUAGUUUCUUCCUUCGUCUUUAUAUUUUCUGAUGAUCAUGGGUUUUAUCAUUACAUGUAAUUAUUGUAAUAUUUUGCUAUUCCAGCGGUGGCCAGGUUCGUAAGAAGCACAAAAGGAACUUUGAUACUCGAGUACGAUGGGAACCGUUAUUUGAAGAAUUAUCAAAACAGGGAGCGGAUUUCGUGGCUCUGUAACAAGUAUAAAUACGGGUGCAAAGCCCGCGUGUGCACGCUCGAGGGAAUGAUCGUCAGUGUCAAGAAUCACCACACUCACGAGGACAAGCGCUACACAUCUAAGCUUGGUGGUUUUUAGAGGAAAUUUUAACAAAUUCCCUGAAUACAUACGCUUAAAUUAGUUUUGUAAUUACUAGUCAGAUGGCAACUGUAACAAAUUUAACAAUAUUUACAGUACAUAUGGGGCUACUUUAUAGCACUAGUGCGAGAAGUAGCAUAUUACGUUACUGUGUCGAACAUUUAAAGGGCCAUAUGUACUGUAAAACGUUGUACGAUACAUGUGCGAAUAGGUAAUUCGCAACUCGUGUCGAUUUAAAACACUCCCUUCGGUCGUGUUUUAAUUUAUCGCCACUCGUUUCGAAUUUCCUAUUUUUCGCACUUGUAUCGUAAUGUACUAUUUUGUAGUUUGAAACUACUUCAAAAACUGUAAAAAAAUAUUGUCGUAGUUCGGUAGUUUGAAAAGUUAAUAGCUACUCUUAAUCAAUACUUAUAUUUAUUCCUUUAGCUGACUUGUCUCUAAAAACUAUCUUCUAUUAGCGAGUAUAUGUAGAUAUGAGGUUGAAUAAUUUCCUAAUUUAUCAAAAUUAUCAAGUUUGAUAUUAAAUCGUAUGGUAUUAUAUUUUAUAAGGACAAUCCCCUAUUUGGAGAUCUCGUAAUACACUUUUAUAGUUUUCUGAUUCUUAUUCUGAUUUUAUAGUUAACAAUUUUUUGAUUUUUUGUGAGUUAGUCGGGUGAUCCUUAUAGGAAUCAAAUCGAUUGGCUUGAUGUCAUUUUGAGAUUUUUGGGACAAUUACUUAUUAUAUUAUUUGGAAAUAAUGUAAAAUUUUGUCAUGUAUGCGAAUAUAACUUAUUUAUUAUCAUUUAAUCAAUAAAUCUAAUUCUAUAUCACUAUA